UUCAAUGUACACUGUAUGCUAACUGUAACACAAAUGUAUUAAUCAUUAUUUUUCUUUCCUCCCCCAGCUCCAAGAAGAUGACACAGCUCAAAAUAAAAAUUAGCAAUCAGUACAACCAAGUCAUCGUUAUAAGGCACCGGCCUCUUUUGCCCACCCCCCCAGCACCAGGUGUGGCCACUAGCCUAUAUGAAGGCCCAAAAUUGUGUGUUCCUUUCUGCUCUGACAAUGGCAUGCCCAUUCUUGCGAGAUGUGGUGGAUGAAGAAGCACUUGUGCUGAGGAGAGCCUUCAGGCGAGAAAGGGUCUUCAGGGACCGGUUGGACCCACUGGCCUUCCCUGAUGACCAUCUAUAUGAAAGAUACAGGUUUUCUGCAGAUGGCAUCAGGUAUCUAUGCAGACUACUGGGUCCCAGGAUUAAGCACCGCACUGCACGGAGCCAUGCACUGAGUGUGGAGCAAAUGGUUUGUGUGGCCUUGCGCUUUUUGGUGCAGUGGACUGCACACACAUAAGGAUAAAAGCCCCCUCAGGUGCCCAUGAGGCCGAUUUUGUGAAUAGGAAAUCCUUUCACAGCAUUAAUGUUCAGAUGGUCUGCAAUGCUGACUGUGUGAUCAGCAAUGUUGUGGCGAAAUGGCCUGGCUCAGUCCAUGACUCCAGAAUCUUUCGGGCCUCUGAAAUCUAUCAGUGCCUAUCACAAGGGGGUAUGGCUGCCAGCCUUUUCUCCUGACACCUUUCACAGACCCCCAGGAAGCACAGCAGGCCUACAACCAUGCCCAUGCCAGGACCAGGGCCAGAGUUGAAAUGACCUUUGGCCUCCUGAAGGCACGCUUUCACUGCCUUCACAAAUUAAGGGUCAACCCUGUUAGGGCAUGUGAUAUUACUGUGGCUUGUGCUGUCCUCCACGAUGUGUCCUGCCUGAGGAAGGAGAGGGCCCCCAGAGUGCCACCAGCCAUGGACUGGGACAAUCCGGCAAUCUUCCCUGAUGACGACAGUGGUCGGCUGCUGAGGGACCAAUAUGUGUUGAAUUAUUUUAGUUAGUAUGUGUGCUUUCAAUUUAGGUAAAAAAUGUCCUGCUGUGGCAGAGGAAAUAGGGUUUUUUUGGGUUGGUUUUUUUACGAAUUUGGCCUCUUAUGAUGUUUGUGCGGUAUACUGUGUGUAAUACAAGGCUGCAGGGAGGCUACUGCAUCCAUUCAUUUGUCUGUUCAGUUGAUGUGUAUGGAUUUGUCCUGCAUUUAUUUUAGUGUGCAGACAUGCAGGGUGUGUUAUAUACAGACCUUUGAAUGUGUAUGUAUCAUUUUGUAUAAUAUGCUUUGAUUCUGUGCUUUCCAUCUUGUAGAGUCACUGUGACUUCAGUUUCGAAAGGAGCUGAUAGUUUACCUGCUUUGUUUUGUCCUUAUUCAAUAAAGGAACAUAAUGUUACACAUUGUGUUUUUAUAUUCA